rnacentral:rRNA from 1 species
CCUACGGGUGGCAGCAGUGAGGAAUAUUGGUCAAUGGGCGCGAGCCUGAACCAGCCAAGUAGCGUGAAGGAUGACUGCCCUACGGGUUGUAAACUUCUUUUAUAAAGGAAUAAAGUGAGGCACGUGUGCCUUUUUGUAUGUACUUUAUGAAUAAGGAUCGGCUAACUCCGUGCCAGCAGCCGCGGUAAUACGGAGGAUCCGAGCGUUAUCCGGAUUGAUUGGGUUUAAGGGGAGCGUAGAUGGGUUGUUAAGUCAGUUGUGAAAGUUUGCGGCUCAACCGUAAAAUUGCAAUUGAUACUGGCAGCCUUGAGUACAGUUGGGGAAGGCGGAAUUCGUGGUGGAGCGGUGGAAUGCUUAGAUAUCACGAAGAACUCCGAUUGCGAAGGCAGCCUACUAAACUGCCACUGACAUUGAUGCGCGAAAGUGUGGGUAGCAAACAGGAUUAGAUACCCGAGUAGUC